rnacentral:rRNA from 1 species
GAUGAACGCUGGCGGCGUGCCUAAUACAUGCAAGUCGAGCGAACAGACGAGGAGCUUGCUCCCCUGACGUUAGCGGCGGACGGGUGAGUAACACGUGGAUAACCUACCUAUAAGACUGGGAUAACUUCGGGAAACCGGAGCUAAUACCGGAUAAUAUAUUGAACCGCAUGGUUCAAUAGUGAAAGACGGUUUUGCUGUCACUUAUAGAUGUAUCCGCGCCGCAUUAGCUAGUUGGUAAGGUAACGGCUUACCAAGGCAACGAGGCGUAGCCGACCUGAGAGGGUGAUCGGCCACACUUGAACUGAGACACGGUCCAGACUCCUACGGGAGGCAGCAGUAGGGAAUCUUCCGCAAUGGGCGAAAGCCUGACGGAGCAACGCCGCGUGAGUGAUGAAGGUCUUCGGAUCGUAAAACUCUGUUAUUAGGGAAGAACAAAUGUGUAAGUAACUAUGCACGUCUUGACGGUACCUAAUCAGAAAGCCACGGCUAACUACGUG